rnacentral:rRNA from 1 species
GACGAACGCUGGCGGCGUGCCUAAUACAUGCAAGUAGAACGCUGAAGGAGGAGCUUGCUUCUCUGGAUGAGUUGUGAAAGGGUGAGUAACGCGUAGGUAACCUGCCUGGUAGCGGGGGAUAACUAUUGGAAACGAUAGCUAAUACCGCAUAAGAGUAGAUGUUGCAUGACAUUUGCUUAAAAGGUGCAAUUGCAUCACUACCAGAUGGACCUGCGUUGUAUUAGCUAGUUGGUGGGGUAACGGCUCACCAAGGCGACGAUACAUAGCCGACCUGAGAGGGUGAUCGGCCACACUGGGACUGAGACACGGCCCAGACUCCUACGGGAGGCAGCAGUAGGGAAUCUUCGGCAAUGGACGGAAGUCUGACCGAGCAACGCCGCGUGAGUGAAGAAGGGUUUCGGAUCGUAAAGCUCUGUUGUAAGAGAAGAACGAGUGUGAGAGUGGAAAGUUCACACUGUGACGGUAUCUUACCAGAAAGGGACGGCUAACUACGUG